GACGAACGCUGGCGGCGCGCCUAACACAUGCAAGUCGAACGAGCGAGAGAGAGCUUGCUUUCUCGAGCGAGUGGCGAACGGGUGAGUAACGCGUGAGGAACCUGCCUCAAAGAGGGGGACAACAGUUGGAAACGACCGCUAAUACCGCAUAAGCCCACGGCUCGGCAUCGAGCAGGGGGAAAAGGAGCAAUCCGCUUUGAGAUGGCCUCGCGUCCGAUUAGCUAGUUGGUGAGGUAACGGCCCACCAAGGGGACGAGCGGUAGCCGGACUGAGAGGUUGAACCGCCACAUUGGGGCUGGGACCCGGCGCAGACUCCUACGGGAGGCAGCAGUGGGGAAUAUUGCACGAUGGGUGAAACCCUGAUGCAGCGACGCCGCGUGGAGGAAGAAGGUCUUCGGAUUGUAAACUCCUGUUGUUGGGGAAGAUAAUGACGGUACCCAACAAGGAAGUGACGGCUAACUACGUG
rnacentral:rRNA from 1 species